ACUAUGGUACCAUGUCCAACACUCCUCAGGGUUGCAGUGUUGUCUGCAAGAAUACAGUGUAUGCAUUGAAAUGAUUUCUUGAAAUAUGAAAUUUGAAUCAAAUGGUAGAACAUACAAGCUCAUUGAUGAAAGAAGAAUGGCCUUUCUCACCACCACUGCCAGUCACCUGUGAGGAAUUUAUGCUUCCUUCCUCUGAAAUCUUAGGCUCUGAUGGAUUAGAUGUCUUGGUUUCUGAGGCAUGAGAGGUGAGAACAUUUGUAGUAGGGAACACAGUAGAACAGGGUUCUCUAUUACAUAAUAGUGGCAGGGAGUAUGUGUUGACAUGGGAACAUCCUCUUGGGCCUCUGGUCGUCUUCCAUGCCUAGCAUCAUAGGGAAAAACAGCUGGAGCAAUUGAAGUUAGGGUUAAGGAUCUCAAGGGCUUGGACUUCUCAGAGAUGAAGAUCUGGAUCACUCCAUCAGGCAAGCAACGAAGACCAGAUGAAAUGCUGCUUGAAGGGCUGGCAUAUCUAGAAUUGGUGGUAGAAAUAUCUUUGCUUGAAAGUUUGCUCAAGAAACACCAUGCAUAUUUGACAUCAUAAGGAAAGAAAUGAGCAGAACCAUACAUCCAACUUACAUUGCAAUUACUGCAGAGGAAGAGAGAUGGAGAAGUUAAAAUGAAACAUUUCAAGGAUGAAUGGGCACUGAAAAUUGGUAAAGUGGCAGAAAAGUCCAAGCUUGAAGAAUGAAAAAGUAAAUGUAUGGAGAAAAAGGAGUUUGGAAAACAGGAAAAAAAAAGAUAUUUUGCAGAAACAUCUGUUUGCUGUUGCUAAAAAUUUUAGCAUUUAAAUGUUCUCAUUUGGGCUCUGAAGUUAGCACUUCCUUGAAGUAGUUCACACCUUUGCUAUUGCUCCUGUUCAGCUACAGAUCAUUUUAUGCAAGGCUGAUUUUAAC
rnacentral:lncRNA from 10 species